UUUGAUCCUGGCUCAGAUUGAACGCUGGCGGCAGGCCUAACACAUGCAAGUCGAGCGGCAGCACGGGUACUUGUACCUGGUGGCGAGCGGCGGACGGGUGAGUAAUGCCUAGGAAUCUGCCUGGUAGUGGGGGAUAACGCUCGGAAACGGACGCUAAUACCGCAUACGUCCUACGGGAGAAAGCAGGGGACCUUCGGGCCUUGCGCUAUCAGAUGAGCCUAGGUCGGAUUAGCUAGUUGGUGAGGUAAUGGCUCACCAAGGCGACGAUCCGUAACUGGUCUGAGAGGAUGAUCAGUCACACUGGAACUGAGACACGGUCCAGACUCCUACGGGAGGCAGCAGUGGGGAAUAUUGGACAAUGGGCGAAAGCCUGAUCCAGCCAUGCCGCGUGUGUGAAGAAGGUCUUCGGAUUGUAAAGCACUUUAAGUUGGGAGGAAGGGCAUUUACCUAAUACGUAAGUGUUUUGACGUUACCGACAGAAUAAGCACCGGCUAACUCUGUGCCAGCAGCCGCGGUAAUACAGAGGGUGCAAGCGUUAAUCGGAAUUACUGGGCGUAAAGCGCGCGUAGGUGGUUCGUUAAGUUGGAUGUGAAAUCCCCGGGCUCAACCUGGGAACUGCAUUCAAAACUGUCGAGCUAGAGUAUGGUAGAGGGUGGUGGAAUUUCCUGUGUAGCGGUGAAAUGCGUAGAUAUAGGAAGGAACACCAGUGGCGAAGGCGACCACCUGGACUGAUACUGACACUGAGGUGCGAAAGCGUGGGGAGCAAACAGGAUUAGAUACCCUGGUAGUCCACGCCGUAAACGAUGUCAACUAGCCGUUGGGAGCCUUGAGCUCUUAGUGGCGCAGCUAACGCAUUAAGUGACCGCCUGGGGAGUA
rnacentral:rRNA from 1 species